ensembl:lncRNA
AAAAGCAUUUCAUGCUCAGAACCAUGUGCUUGUGUAUAUAUUUAUAUUUAUAUACAUUUUAUAUGUGUGUGUUUGCUCUCUCCCUUUCCUUUUCUGACACAAAAAGCCUCUGUGCCUGCACCGUGAUGUGGUUGAACCGCAGGGCUGCUCCUGGGAAAGGGUGACACAGGGAGAAGCCGUGGGCAGCACCGCCCUGAGCCUGCCCCCAGAGAGCCCCAAAGAGAGGCAGGACUGUCCCCCCCCAGGCAGGAGCAGGGGGGGGGGGGGGGGGGGGGGGGGGGGGGGGAGGAGCAGCCAGCCUGUGUGCUCCAGAGCUUCACCUGCACUGCAAGAGGGCAGGUGGUGCCACACCCACCACCCACCCCACGGGCCAUCACUGACAGCAGGGCAAGGGCUGAAGCUUCUGGGAACUCGUGCAUUAUAACCAGCAUUUUAAGUUUUAAACAUAUUUUUGCUAUUAAACCCAGCCCCUGAAUCUUUUCUUUAAUUCUUUUCUCCUCUCUAAAUGCCUACUGGUUCUUUGGACGCUAGCAAGGAUGAAAAGCCACAUUUCCUGUGCUGAACAGAUUUUUAAACAGCUCUUCUUGAGCCAGGCUGCAAGAGCAGUCUCAUCCCAGAGAGACACCCCCUCUGAGCUCCCUGUGUGCAGGCAAGGUGCAGGGUUGAAACCCAGCUUUUGGAAUUGCUCAAAAAGCAGAGAAAACCACCCCUGAUGGGUGGCAGGCUGAGGAAUGCAGAUCUGCAGCCAGGCUGGGCUGGUUAAACAGCCUUUCAUGUUCAAAGCCUCCACUCAGGGUGCAGGAGGAAGCUGAGCGAGGAGCUUACAGGCUUGGACAGGCUCACAUGGAGGAAAUCAGCUCUAUUCCUUCAGCUCUAUUUCUUCAGCUCUGUUCCCUCAGCUCUAUUCCUUCAGCUCUAUUCCCUCAGCUCUAUUCCCUCAGCUCUAUUCCUUCAGCAGCCACUGCAGUGGAAUAACACACACAGGGUUGGAGCAUCCAGCACAGCCACCGAGCACCCGUGGCUGGCUGAGCCUGUGGCUUUAAUGCAAACCUUCCUGAGGAUUUGUUUGUGUGCCCAGGUUUUCUCUGGGGAGCUGGAAUUACCCCUCACACCCUUUUUGCAAAGCUGAGUUGAUUUGCUCUGUGUUGGAGGCAGCACUAGGAGGAAGGUUUUCUGACAGCUGUUGCUUCACUGCCUGCUAACAGCAUUAAUAAUACAUAAUAAUGCUGUUCAUCCCCUCUCACACAAAGGGAAAAUGAGGAGCAAACACAAAAUUCAUCCAGGCAGCCCAAUACCUUAACAGAAAAUCUAGAAAGAGGAGGGAGAGCUGCAGAGUCUGAGCCAAGCUUGCUAUCUGGGAUGCCCCACUGCCCCUCCACAGAGGGAGGAUCCAGACACAGUCCUGGAAAGCUGAUAAACAGCAGGGAAAGCUGGCAGCCUGGCAAGACAAGGAGAGAAGAUCUGGCAAAAAAAUAAAGUAAAUAAUGAGAAAGCAACAGCUAAAAAUAUGCUGCUGUGAACACGCUGCCAGGAAGGCAGCAGGAGCAGAGAGCAUCAGCUGCUGAGCUUCUUCUGGGGUUACCUCUAUUUAUAGCCUGGGAGCAGCAGUUUGAG